GUUCGAUCAGAAACAGCGAAAUUUGGUCGGUUGCUCUUCUCGGCAUCAUGAGAAAAAUACUUUGUGUUUUAAUCCUUGGCCUCCUGGUAGUACAAAUUUGUGCUAGACCAGAGGACAAAGGCAAAGACUGUCCGCCGACUACCACGCCUAAACCGCACCACAAACACCGACAUGGACAAAGACAUGGUCAU